UACGAAGGGGGCGAGCGUUAUUCGGAAUCACUGGGCGUAAAGCGUGCGUAGGCUGUUUUGUAAGUUGGAAGUGAAAGCCCAGGGCUCAACCCUGGAAUUGCUUUCAAAACUACAAGACUCGAAUCUCGGAGAGGAUAGCGGAAUUCCCAGUGUAGUGGUGAAAUACGUAGAGAUUGGGAAGAACACCAGUGGCGAAGGCGGCUAUCUGGACGGUUUCUGACGCUAAGACGCGAAAGCGUGGGGAGCAAACAGG
rnacentral:rRNA from 1 species